GCCCGCUUAGCUCAGUGGUAGAGCGCGUCACUAGUACCUCCUGCGAGUAGCAGACGGCUUCGGCCAUGACGAGGUCGGUUGUUCGAUCCAGCCAGUGGGCA
rnacentral:tRNA from 1 species